AACGAACGCUGGCGGCAUGCCUAACACAUGCAAGUCGAACGAGACCUUCGUGUCUAGUUGCUCACGGGUGCGUAACGCGUGGGAACCUUCCCUUAGGUUCGGAAUAACUCCCCGAAAGGGGUGCUAAUACCGGAUAAUUUCUUCUGACCAAAGAUUUAUCGCCUUUGGAGGGGCCGGCGUUGUAUUAGCUAUUUGGUAGUGUAAAAGCCUACCAAGGCGACGAUCCAUAGCUGGUCUGAGAGGAUGAUCAGCCACACUGGGACUGAGACACGGCCCAGACUACUACGGGAGGCAGGAGUGGGGAAUAUUGGAAAAUGGGCGAAAGCAUGAUCCAGCUAUGCCGCGUGAGUGAUGAAGGCCUUAGGGUUGUAAAGCUCUUUUACCCGGGAUGAUAAUGACAGUACCGGGAGAAUAAGCACCGGCUAACUCCGUG
rnacentral:rRNA from 1 species